rnacentral:tRNA from 1 species
ACCGAAAUAGCUCAGUUGGGAGAGCGUUAGACUAUAGAUCGAAAAGUCCCUGGUUCGAUCCCGGGUUCCGGAA